UACGUAGGGUGCUAGCGUUGCUCGGAAUUACUGGGCGUAAAGCGCACGUGGGCGGAUUGUUAAGUCAGGGGUGAAAUCCUGGAGCUCAACUCCAGAACUGCCUUUGAUACUGGCGGUCUCGAGUCCGGGAGAGGUGAGUGGAACUGCGAGUGUAGAGGUGAAAUUCGUAGAUAUUCGCAAGAACACCAGUGGCGAAGGCGGCUCACUGGCCCGGUACUGACGCUGAGGUGCGAAAGCGUGGGGAGCAAACAGG
rnacentral:rRNA from 1 species